rnacentral:rRNA from 1 species
CCUACGGGAGGCAGCAGUGGGGAAUAUUGCGCAAUGGGCGAAAGCCUGACGCAGCGACGCCGCGUGAGGGAUGAAGGUCUUCGGAUCGUAAACCUCUGUCAGCAGGGAAGAACGGUCACUGUGCUAAUCAGCAGUGAAUUGACGGUACCUGCAAAGGAAGCACCGGCUAACUCCGUGCCAGCAGCCGAGGUACUACGGAGGGUGCGAGCGUUAAUCGGAAUUACUGGGCGUAAAGCGCUCGUAGGGGGUCUGUCAAGUCACGGGUGAAAUCCCCGCGCUCAACGUGGGAACUGCCUUUGAAACUGGCAAACUUGAGUGUGUGAGAGGAUAGUGGAAUUCCAGGUGUAGGAGUGAAAUCCGUAGAUAUCUGGAGGAACAUCAGUGGCGAAGGCGACUAUCUGGCACAUAACUGACGCUGAGGAGCGAAAGCGUGGGUAGCAAACAGGAUUAGAUACCCCAGUAGUC